ensembl:lncRNA
CACAAUUCUCACCUUCUGAUCCAAGACAGUGAGCCCAGUUCCAGCCAAUCUGCCCACAUUCCAGCCGGAAGGAAGGAUGAAAGAGGAGAAAAACCACACUCUUCCUUUAAGGAUGCUUUCUAGAAGUUGUCCACAUUACAUUUCCUGCAUCCCAUUGAACAGAACUUAGUUGUGGUCAUGCAUCUUUUAAAGGAGACUGGAAAGUGUAGCUCCCUAGUCUGUUAUUCUCUAUUAUUGUUGCAGAAAAAACGAAGGACAGAUAUUGGGGGAUGGUUAGAUGUCUCUGUGACAAGUUCAGAGUGAAAGAUCAUGAACGCCAUCUCACAUGCACCCCAAUGUUCCCAGCAGCACUGUUCACAGCAGCCAAGACAUGGGAGCAGCCUAAAUGCCCAUCGACGGAUGAAUGGAUAAAGAAGUGUGGUCCAUACAUACCGUGGGAUAUUACUCAGCCAGAAAAAGAACGGAAUCAGGCCAUUUGCAGCCACGUGGGUGGAUCUAGAGAUGAUCAUGCCGAGCAAAGUCAGUCAGAAGACAAAUGCCAUAUGAUGUCAAUUAAUUAUAUCCAGGGAAGGCUUCAGAUGCUUGUGGAUUCAGAAAGAAGAGCUCUGGUGACUUGUAACACUGCUUCGGUUUAAAAGGAAGGUCCCUCAAGCACCCACCAGCCGUCACGCUCCUGAGCCACUCUCUUAGCCCUGGGCCCUCCGUCAUAACUGAGGAAGUGAGGACACCCCAGCAGGUUCAGGGUGCCCCUCCUGAAACUGACCACAGAGGCUGACAUUUGACAAGGCAUCUUCCCAUUCUGUCUGAGCCUGUACAAAUAAGUCACUGACAAUACAUACACAGAUAAUAGGAAACAUAUUUUUGGCCAGCAAGUUAGCUUUCUGGUCGGGCUUGAAUACUGUAGCAGAUCCUUUGAAAGCUUCCCCAUUAACCACACUCUCCUUCUGAACAGAAAUGUAUUUCCCAGCCUUGAGGUUAGGUUUGGGGUUGGCUUAGGCCAACUAAACGUAUGCAACCCUGUGUCCACAAUAAUCAUGCCAGAGUUGGGCACGUGGUUGAAUGAGACGUGAAGGAAGAGGUAGGGGGCUUGGAGAAAGAAGCGUCCAUUGAUGUUGGCCGUUGUCUUGGGUUCACAAAGAAUAUCCGGCCUUAGAAAGAAGACAUCAGGCUAACGGCCUAUGUGAAACGACGGCAGCAGGAUGAAAGCUGGUCUGUCAGGAUGUUAUUGAGUCAGUGGCUUGAAACUUAUCUAAGGCCCACAUUCAUACAGACUCUGAGAGUCACAAGCUGGUAAACUCUGUUUAUGGCUUAGGCCUCCUGAGUGGGGGUCUCUGUUGAGCAAUAGUCUAAGGGACACUGGGUCAUUAAAUGAAAACCUGGGAGUACUUAACACAAGGCAAAUUAAUCAGGAAGCAGCAGCCAGACAUUCGUCAUCUCAACCACACCAAGACUGGAGUGCUGGUCUGCCAUUUCAGCUCUCGUGUGAG